rfam:Burkholderia sacchari strain LMG 19450 contig00050, whole genome shotgun sequence.
GGGAGCAGGCCUCCCGAAGUCUGCUUUGAGGAGCAGGCUUCAAACCGCCCGGUGCUGCUGCGUGCCAUGAGCGUCGCUCAGUCGCUGUUCGGAACAGAAGCGUGGUUGCACGGAAAGGGGCAUCGGUAACACGCCGCAUG